rnacentral:lncRNA from 1 species
UGGCUCUAUGACCGGAUUUUCCACAGUUCCAGCAAACAUCUUCCUUAUGGGAAGGUCUUUUCUUCCUAAAUUUCUUUUUGGAAGGAGAAGGUUUGUCUCUAGAAAUAUGUUUUCUAGAUUUUUUUGACUUAAAGGAAUGUUUCUUAGAACUCUUCUUAGAUUGAAGGGGGUGGAUCUAUGUUUCCAAAUCCAAAGUCUCUACGGAAACUACCUAGACUUAAAGGAAUGUUUCUUAGAACUCUUUUUAGAGAUCUUUGAAGGGGGUGGAUCUAUGUUUCCAAAUCCAAAGUCUCUACAGAAACUACCUAAUUCAGCUCU